rnacentral:lncRNA from 1 species
AACAGCUGACAGACAUUUAUAAAGUGUAUUUUUUGUGAAAACCCAUCUCAAAGGCAAAUAACACUUCGCUAGGAACACAAGGCCUAAAGGUCUAUAGUCACACUGGCAUGUGGCAACCAAACCCUCCACAUAGCAACACAGCAAUGCUAUGUUGCUAUGCGGUUCAAUAAUUGAUGGGCACCAUCUACGACCUUACAGCAGCCCUACUGUGUCCGAUAACAAACAGCUAAGACUAAGAAGGUACUUACGUACAAGCGGCCGCGGGGAGACAGGUGGGGGACCGAGCUAUGCACUUAUCUGCUGCUGUGAUAUAUGUUUAUCUAAGUAAUGUUUGAUUUAGAAUUUAAAUACCACGAUAACUUUACCUCACGACAGAUUUACUCUUUGGCUAUUCUUUAACUCGGCCACUUGCAAGAAACGGAAGCCACCGAUAUAGUUUGACCAUCCGUAAGCCGUUUUAUGUGUCCUGAAACUGGAACCCUUGACGCAUCGCUACGCUAUGAUAAGUAUCUUAUCGUAUGCUUGUGUAGCUCUUACGUUUACAUAUUCGUAGUCACAGAAGUGGCUCACGUUUUCAGUGUAAAAUUGUUAGGUGUAGCGGGUCUAUAGGUUAUCAGUGUAAGCGUUUGACAUUAAAAGGUUCUACAAGACCCCAAGUAAGGUUGGCCUUCACCCGUCGGUCGUCAGCUCACCGGAUGACAUAGUAUCCAUAGGUACAGCUGUACGUAUAUCGCGCGCCAAGCUCCCCUCUGUGGGAGACUUUGAUUUGCUUCAUUUAUCAUCAGAUUUGCACGCAAACACUCCCUUAGAGUCCUACCUACCAAUGUGAAUCGAGCGAGAAACAAAUUAUAAAAAAAUAGGAAUACCUGCUGUCAUUGAAAAUAAGUGUGUAGGUUGCAGUUUUUCGGUAAGAAAAUACAUCUAAAUAUUGCUCAUUUCAUUUUUUUUUGGGAAAAGGAACACGGAGCAGUUUAAUAAAAAAAUACUAUUCCCUGGACAGUUGCUAGACCGACGUCUUUUUAUCGCACGCCCUAGUGAUCUAUUUACUAUAAUGAUAUCAAAUAAUACAUAUACGUAAUUUCAGCCACUGACGAUCAAGUUAACUCAUAUACUUGCAGCGCUAUCAGUUUUAUCGGACGUCAAGCCGUCAGCUCUGCAGGCAUGUGAGAUUACUUGAUCGUCAGUGGCUGACAUAUCGUCAUUGAAAACGGUAUUAUCACUCUGUAUGUAGUGAGCCGACAGCUCAGUGCUCACAGUGGACUAGAUACGGCGCAUCCGUCCCCAGUUCCCUACUCCCCCUACGAACUGUCUCCCCCCGCGCCGCCGCCCGCCGCCGCCGCCCGCCGCCGCCGCCCGCCCUACAUCCUGCAUCCGCGUCGAUGUAACUGUCACACACACAACACUUUGUUUAACCUUUUAUCAUCUGAUCAGGAUGAAGCUCUCAAAUUGUCACGAUGUAGAUAUGAAUCUGUAUACUUAAACAGGUAAAUAUUAAAAAUUCAUAACACAAGUAAAUGUGGGUAAAUGUGUUGAAUUUUCAAGAAUUUCUGUACAAUUUUUCUAUUUAAUCUGAUGGAAGUAGACACCUCAGUUUUGAGUAGGUACUUGCGGGAAAAUUGUUGGUUUUUUCAAGGUAUUGCACUCCUCGGUCUUACUGAAUAGGUUAUGAUAAGUUACGUCAGUGGACAACACCCACUGCACUGAAGUGGACGUUCGAACAUACUCGUAAUAUAUUUACAUGAUAUCACAUUAAACAUACCAAAAAUAAAGUCUCCGUAACUCGAUCACUAAUUAAUUAAUUAAGUAAACUAUUACGCAUUCGAGAAUUACUAGCAAAUACAUACAUAGCAGAACCCAGUGAUUACAUGUAACGACUUCAAUCAACACCACACGUUUGGCUUCUUCACUUCAAAAUGAUCAUCAGCGGGGCUCCUCCGAGACGGGAAGCGAGUGGAGAGCGCGGGGCCAGGGGCGGACUGGCGGCGGCGCUCUCUGGAGAGCUGUGGGCCUCGCUCGGCAUACCGAUUGGGUACAAGAAUUAAUAUAUACGUUAAUUCUGCAUUCCUUUAACGUGACGCCUUACAGGUACAUAGCUAUAGUACGUAGCUGUUUUUGACAAAAAAUAUAUUAGUUAACUCCCUCUCUAAUAAGAGAGGGGAUUUGGAGUUUGACUUAUCACGUUGCAGUCAAUGCGGACGGAUUAAUUAUUGACAAUUGGAUUGACAAAAAGUCGACACAUUAGAAGCCACAACGACAC